rnacentral:rRNA from 1 species
AGGGAUCAUUACUGAGUUACCGCUCUAUAACCCUUUGUGAACAUACCUACAACUGUUGCUUCGGCGGGUAGGCCGUCCCCUGAAAAGGACGCCUCCCGGCCCGGACCGGACCCCCCGCGGGACCGGACCCGGCGCCCGCCGGAGGAUAACCAAACUCUAUUGUAACGACGUUUCUUCUGAGUGGCAUAAGCAAAAUAAUCAAAACUUUUAACAACGGAUCUCUUGGUUCUGGCAUCGAUGAAGAACGCAGCGAAAUGCGAUAAGUAAUGUGAAUUGCAGAAUUCAGUGAAUCAUCGAAUCUUUGAACGCACAUUGCGCCCGCCAGCAUUCUGGCGGGCAUGCCUGUUCGAGCGUCAUUUCAACCCUCAAGCUCUGCUUGGUGUUGGGGCUCUACGGUCGACGUAGGCCCUCAAAGGUAGUGGCGGACCCUCCCGGAGCCUCCUUUGCGUAGUAACAUUUCGUCUCGCACUGGGAUCCGGAGGGACUCUUGCCGUAAAACCCCCCAAUUUUCCAAAGGUUGACCUCGGAUCAGGUAGGAAUACCCGCUGAACUUAAGCAUAUCA